GUGGGCUUGUGGGGUGGCCGCAGGCAUGGACUUGGUCUUGCACUGGUAAACCUCCUCAGCCCCCGAGGGGGAGAGGUCGUGAGGGAACCCUUGACCGCUGGUCGUACUCAGCAGGAAUUUGCUCUCUGCAGGGUGGACUUGUGCCCCCAGUGAAAUGCCACCCCUGCGACUGGGCACUGGGGUGAGGGGAGUUCUCUUUUGUCCUGGAGUGGAGUUCCUGCCAAGCAGAACCAGGUGCGGGUAGGGAAGGGAGCAGGCCGCAGCCCAAAUGGGAGACUCAUCUCUCACCAAGAGGAGUCAAUUUUCAAGGAAAAGACAAAAAGAACCCUUCACUUUCAUUUCAAGGAAAAAUAAAGAAAGAACCCUUCACAGCCUCUGGAGGUCCCAGUGGCCAUCUGGCCUCUCGCCGCUCCGACGAAUGACUCUGAGACCUCCGUCAACGGUGCCUGUUUCCUCCCAGUGUUGGUCCAGCCCAAGAGUAUGGCUUGAGCAGGGUUGGCCCCAUGACGGCUGUAGAUAGAACCAAAACCCAGACUCUUGACCAGGACCCGCCAGGCACAGCCUCAUCACUACCGACGUGGAAAAGAGAACACAUUCGGGUGCGUCUCUCCAAAGCCUUCAGCUCGCACGUGGAGCAAGGUUUUCACAGGAAAUCCACGCCAAGCUUCAUGGCCUAGGUCUGUAGGGAAAUGUAUUACUUAUUUGAAAAAGAGAUUCUAGGAUAAGCCCAGGAAGUGACCUGGUGACCCUCGGCUGUGUCAGAACUGAGGGGCAGCUCGGGGCGUCUGUCCUGUUGCUUAGCCGGUGAAGCUCUGAGUAGGCCACGCCUUCUUCUCUAAAACAGGCCUUGGGAAGUGAACAGGGGCUCUGCACACUGCUGCCCCAGGACUGGCGGGCCUGGGUACGUUGGGCUUCCACUGCCUGCCCACCAGGUGGCGCCACGUGCACGGCAUUUCACACGCAAGGAGGCCCCAGCAGCUUGUAAGAUUCAGGCAGAUUCGCACCUUAGAAGAAAAGGCGGAACAGCAGCUGUGACUCGGGAAGAGGAGGGACAAUGGAAAACGACUUUUCUAUGAUGGCCACACAGCAACAAGGGGAUCUUUGCACACAGAUCCGUUCCAGUAGACAAGAAAGGUGUGGCCCAGCUAGGCCCCAUCACCAGAGCUAGGCCCCAUCACCCGGGGUCCGUAUGCAGCCCUGGCGGAGGUGACCCAGGAUGUCUCAGGACACUGGCUGAAGGUGGGCUUCCCUGCCACCCUCAGCAACCCCACGUCUGUCCAGGAGAUGUCCCCUACUAGUCACCAAUAAACUGACCACAACCGUGACCUGUCCUGUGCAUUGGAAGCACACAGCACACACGACACACACAUAAGUGUGCACAGGUGUGCACACACCACACAAACACAUAGAACAGCCACAGUGCAUACUUACAUGACAACACAACACCCAGUGCACACUCACAACACGUGAACUCACACCUGCAAUAUAUACAUGCUUAUGUACAUAAUAUACAUGUUAACACACUCAGGACACACAACACACUCAAAACACACAAUGCACACACACACCAUACCAGGGCUGUGUUGCUUACCACAUGAUCACCUGGAAAGUGGGGUGCAGCCUAAAGUGAAGACGGAGAGGGGGAUCCCCACCAGUGACCUGCCUCGGUCUCUGGUCGUCAUCUCUGACGUAGAGGGCGCAGAAGGGGCAAUUCAAGAAGCCUUUGAGAUUUUCCUCAUUCGCAGAAGUGACGGAGCUGAAGGACACGUGAACGUAAGAUGGAGUUCAAGUCAGCGGGCUCCCUGUGCGCCUGGAAGCGUGUGAGGCGAAGGCGGAGGCUCUCGGCUGCUGGCAUCAGGGUGCGCCUUUGCGAUUUCCUUUAGUACCUUUAAUCGCGGGGAGCGCUCUGGCGCCCUCUGGACCUGCAGAGUUCCUUCCCCUGGAGAUCAACCUUCCUUUUAACGUGUGUCCGGUGUUACGAGGGAGGUUAAGUGGCGUGUCCGGGUAUCCGGCUGGUGCAUCACUCUUCAUCCCAUGCCGUGUCUUGCUGGUCGGCUCCAGCAGAGCACCAGCCCUUGUGCGUCCCUCCUGUGUCAUGCAGAAUUUCAAAUCCGUAACACCGGAGCAAAACGAUGCAUUUCUUCUUUCCAGGUAAGGACGGGUGUUGGCUCUACACGUGCUAAUUAUAUCUUGGGUUGCUGGUUUCCCGGGGUGGACUGGAAAUUAAAGCCCUAAAAGCAGUGAAGUUCUAUGACCACACUCCCCCCAAAAGAAAAGUGAUUGAGAGGUGCAGAGGUCGUACAAGCCACCUUUUAAUUGUGCCAUUUGUCCCCACUGUGCUCUUUGAGAGAGGAAUCUGAACAAAUUUGCAUAUUGGUGGGCUCUCUGUGAGACUUACAAGAGACCUGCAUCGCAGCUGAGAGGACAUGGAAAUCACAGGAAAAAACUGGAAUACGUCCCACAGGACGACAGCUUUCGCCUCUGGCCCGCGUUUCCCAGCUUGGCUUCCUCAGGCAGGCAUGUGGGCAGAAGGACACCAGAAGAGGCGCUCAGAAAUGGCGGUCCCUCCGGAAGGCUUCCUGGUGCUCAGCGUCCCGUGAGCUUCCCUGGCAGGCCGCGGUCGGCCUGCGCCGUCACACUGGACAGUGUGGUGGACCUUUCUCAGCUCCUGGCGGUUGUCUCUGGUCAGGUCAGGACCCAAUGCCAAUGUCACGGUGCUCUUAAGUGGUGUCCUUUUCCGAGCUCUAGAAACCCCACAGGCCUCGUUUUCCCCAUCUACAAAGUGUCUCCUGAGCACAGCCCUGGCCUAUGCAGUACACGAGGACUGGAUGAGAAAAUGCACGCGAAUGGCAGGUGCAUCAGACCGUAGAGAUGUCACGCGUCAUGUCACUGAACGUCUGUCUGCCGGCCUCAGACCUUGCCACGGGCAGACCGCUGUGCACAGUGUUAGUCCUCCACACCUGUUUGCGCGUCUCUCCUGUGCUCAGAGGGGACACAGCCGAGGUUCUGGGCGACAGCUUCCCGGGCGUGUGACUUCACCUGCACCCACUGCAUCUCUUCCAUUUUGCAACACACUUACAUGUUCACUCCCACUCAGGCCAGCUGGGGGCACGGAGCGGGGUGGGCUGGCCACCGGCCAUCAAGGUCCACCCGCUGGCUCUGUUCUCGUGUGUCCUUUACUCAUGUUGCCGAAGUACUUCCUGGUCUUUCCUGUCCCUUACUUUGUAGGCCAAAACCUUGUUCCCCGCAUCUGUGAAUUCUCUGUACUGUUGAAGUGCAGAACUCAAGCAGCUCCGAUCAAUUGCCUGGAUGAAAGCAUAAUAAUGGAAAGUUCCCUGGCGAUGACAGUGCACAACUAAAGUCGGGUUCCUUCCCAGCGGAGAGCCUUUUAAAAUCCUUUAGCACGUAGGCGAGGGCCGUGUGCAAAAGUGAUUAUUUUUCUUUAGAUUUCCAAACCUGAUUCAUCAUCUGAAAAUUGCCAGGAUUAUUGUUCUGACUUACGAAAGCCUCCUUCUGGGUUCUUUAUUCCUGUAAGUUCAUGUAGGAGGCAGUUUCCCAGCAUUCCCCAAAACACCACUGCCAAAGACCUCUCCUGGGGAGUCCGAGGGGCGGGCGCCCUUGCUGCCGGUGCACGCCCGUCAUCUCGUCAGGGCUGUGUCUUGGUGGCUGUGAGGACCCUGCGGGAGGCGGGGGGUGUCACACGCAAGGCCAAGUUGUCUCAUGGAGUUUUGUACGUCAUCUCUAGUGCUCUCAGUGUGUUUGGCAGGAGUACGAGGUCGCAGGUCAGCCACGCCAUGGAAUCUGGUGUGGUUGUGGGUAGGCCUCCUCCCCGCUUCUCCCUCUUCAAGGGAAGUAGGAGUUGGCACCAUGAGAUGGUGGUGGCCACGUGAGUUUCAGUGAUGAGCUUUUGAACUGAGUAAACUUGAAUGGGAUUCUUCUCAUUUCUUCUAUGGUGAUCUUAAAAGUGAUCUUUUGUGUGCCGCAGGACACUGAACCAAGGAUUAAGGCCAGAAGCAAACUCUUGGAACUCAUAAUUUCUACCCUGGAACUUCAGGGGGUGCAGCAGGCAGCUUCUGAAAUGUGCCCAGUGUCCCCACCUGGUACUAGAAUCCUCAGGCAUCACGCUCUCCAGAGAGGGGCGGGGCUGGGACUGGUGUGUUCCAUACACACUCUUUCCACGAGUCCCUCGCUGCGAUUGGGGCGGCUCACAUGCCUGGUAUUGUGAGAAUUGUAACAGUUCUCUGUCAGCACUUUUACGACUCUUGGCUCUCUAUAUUUCCACAUAGGUAUUAGUUCACACACACACCCGGUGGGGGCUAUACAAUUGGGACUGCCUUGAAUCUGCACCGGUGUGGGAACAGCCACCAUCUUUACCACACUGGGUCUUCUGACCCCUGCCCGUAGGGGUUCCCUAAAUUUAUUCAAGUUUCUUUAAUGUCCGCCAAUACCGUUUCAUAGUGCUCACUGUGAGAUCAUUCCCACAUUUCAUUAAAUAUGUCCUUAGUAUUUGACAGUUGUUGAUGCUCUUGUUGCUUUUCCAUAUUGAACGGGGACACAGUGACAUCUUGAAGUGGUCCAUGCACUCUCCUCUCGAGCUGCAGAUCUUCUGGAUGUUCCCCAAGCCCCACGUGGCCGCCCUUCCCUUCCCAUCACUUCCAAACUUGUUCAGCUGGCACGGACUCCAGGACAAAGCUGGAUGUACAUGUGUCCUCUGCUUACCUCAGGACACAGCUUUCCGAGCCUCACCUUCACACACGGUAUUCACUGCAGGUUUUUGUGCCUGCCCUUUAUUAGCUUGGGAAAUUGCUUGUCUUUCCUUACUUUGUUAAGGGUUUGAUUCACAACAGGUGUUAUAGUUUAUCAAAAGUUUUUUUCUUCAUCUGUUAAAAUAAUUGCACAAUUUUCCUCCUGUUGUAUGUUAACAUGAGGCUUGCAUUGAUAGAUUUUUUAAAGUAUUAUUCCAAGUUUGCAAUCCUGGAAUAAACCUUCCUGGUCAGAAUGUAUUAUUCUCUAUGUACUGGAUUUCUCUAACUUUUAAUUUGUUUAGAAUUCUUGCAGCAAUGGCAGUCAGUAAGGGCAUUUGGCAUGUCGUUUUAUUUUCGAGUUCUUGUUCAGUUUUUAAAGUUGCAGCGUGUAUCGUUUUCUUCAAGGACUGUCGAUGUCAGACAAACUGGCGCACCAUUGUCAGAAGCAGGAAGCCAGUGGCUAACAUCUCACAUCUUCCAAUAAAUCAAGAGUGACCCCCUGCUGGAAGAAAUAAGCACACCCAUCUGAGGAUGGGUCUCUUUAUCCUUCAGAUCUCGUUUAAAGGGAGGAUUUAGGGCAUAACUUCCCAUCUUACAUCUCGGAAAAUAGCUCCAUUAUUGAGGUGUCAUUUUUAUUCUAAUAAUUGUAACUACUUUUUAUCCCUGUGCCCAUCUCAGUCAACAUACGGAAGUCAGCAGGACAUUGGCUCCUAACCUUCCCGUGUUCACAAACAUUAUCAAAAGCACCUGCCACAUCGCAAGGCCAAGGGUCUGGCUUUGUCUUCCUCUUGAGUUUGUCAGACUGAAAACACUCCUUACUGAGGUUCAGCGUUCCGUGACGCCUGCUCCAUUGUUAUAAAGGGUGUCUCUGGAGCAGAUGGAGCAGAAGGCCCAGGUGGGUAGCCUGGGGCACGUGCUCGGCAGGGAAACGCUAACGAGGAACUCGGAGGCCGCUGGCACCAGCCAAGGCACAGAGGAGGGAAGGGAGGGGACAGCGUGCUGCUCUCGGGCUCUGGCAGAUGCUCCAGAGGUGCAGUGCUUUGGACCCAGGUCGUCAUGCAGGAUUCCACUCCAUUAACAUUUUGGAGCAAGAAUUUUCUCAUGUAACACAGUGUAUCAAAGCCCAAAGUGUAACUGAGAAUCGAGACAAUAUGGUACUAUUGUUCCAAGCCCGUUCUCUCUUCUUCUAAUUAUGCAGCAAAAGCAUGCAUUUUUCACCAGAAGCAGAAGACCGCCAGGGUCCAGACAAUGCCAGCAUCGAUUUCGGUGACCUGUGUCCACCCGUGUCCCUGUGGGCCGGGUGUGGUGACGAUGGCCUGUCUGUCAAUGCAGAGCACAGUCUCUCCAGGUCAUCUGCACAAUCUUCUCCAAUGGUUUAAGGUUGCCUGAAAGCUGCUGUCUGCGUCUCCUUGCUCAGGUGACACUCGUUCAAUGCCAAGCUCUGCCUAGCUGGGAAUCACUCCCCGUGUUUAAAAAUGAAAACAAAUUAGCACCAGGCUGUGGCCCAGCCCGAGCGUUGGAGGAGAGAAAGCCGGCGACUUCACACCAUCGUGAGGAUUGAUUAACUUUCUGCUCCAGCCACACCCUUGGCGGGCAGACUGGCUGCUUGCUGAGGGCAGGUGACGCAGGAAGUGUGCCUGGCACAGACAGAGGCUCUCAGCAACACACCCGCCUUUGAAACCAGCAAAUUUGUCUUCGCUGUUUUAAUUCACAUUGAGUCAAAAAUCAGAACAGAAACAAAAACCAGCUGGGAUUCCACGCUGAGCCUCCUACCACGUUCUUUUGGUGAUUGGGGAAGCUCAGACACAGAGGCCGCCAUCAUUUACUGAUGUGCUCCGUCCGACACUGUGACCUCCUCCAGUGGACCAGGACAUGCCUUGCCAGUAAUUGCUUGGCUCCAGAGAAGGGUGAGCUUGGACAGCUGGCAGUGCUGGCCAUCUGACUGUCCCUUGCACAGCCCCAGGAUCUUGUGAAGAUGGAAAAUGACAUCACUCUCCAGUGGCUUCAGCCAAACGGAAUCAAGAAGGAGAGGCAGUGGUCUGGGGAGAUAGCUCAGUUGGUAGAGUGCCUGCCUUGCAAGCACAAGGCCCUGGGUUCAAUCCCCAGCACCAAAAAAAAAAAAAA